CAGCCAGAGAGAUUGGUGUGUAGUCCCAGAAAUCAGGCGGCACAAACACUCCAGGACGGUCUCUACAAUCAUACAAACACAAGGAUCAAUACAACAUUAAUUAAUUACCUAGGCUAAAACUUAAAUUAGAGAUUAAGGUUAAACCCUUAAUUUGUGUAACAUGUACUUCUCUUAUAUUUGCUUAUAUUUUAUGCAAUCUGUCUUCUAUGAAGUUUUACAUAAUACCCCUUUGGAAUGCCUUUGCACGGAUGAGAGUAGCACUCACUCUAUAGAAAUCCUUGUUAGGAUGAAUAUUAAAACACUAACAUAUACAUAUGGGGAUAAUUCCCAAUAACACUCUGUUCCUAAACUGGAACCUUGAUUUGAUAUUCAAAAUUAAUUACUUUAAUAAUCCUGAAUAAUUCAAUACUCUUGGAUUAACACCUAAAACUAUAUUAAAUAUUACAAACAUGAACCAUCUGUGUAUUAGGCUGGGGUUGUUGGGUGUGGGUAUAGGUUGGAAGCUAUGGUUGGUAUUGAGGAAUCUGUGGGGGUGGCUUUGGGCACUCAUUUUUCCAGUGACCCUGCUAUCCACAAUUAGAACAGUGUGUUCCACCAAUGCUGAAGUUGUUACCUCUACAAAAGUUAGACCCUUUGACCAAAUCCUCUACCUCUGCCUUUAUUCCAUAUGCAGGAUGGGAUUACCUAACUCACAGCCCCCUCUUUGUGUACCACACAGAUAUAAUAUUAAUAAGCUUUUAAAGGCUGUAUGGAUAGUUAAAUUGUGUAUAAAAAGCAAGGUUGUCUAGGGGUAUAUACAUCGACAAUGAAAGCAUAGCCUUCAUAUAGGGCUUGCAAUACUGACAGUCUGUGUCAUGAGCGUAAUGCAGACAUGCGGUUAGGUACUUUUCCAUUGUUAUAAUAUAUUGAAAACACUAAGACCUUGCAAAUUUUUAAAACGCAUAUUGCUUCCUGUACCUGGUGCCGUGCAAGGAUGUAAUUGGGACAUAUUUCAAAUUGCAUGUCAAAAGUCUAACCAUAAAACUAAAUGUUAUACGCUUAUCAAGAAAACAAGUUUAACCCGUUAGUGCAUACUUUGGAUAGCCUCUUUGCAUAAUUUGGCUCCUAGUGAGAUUAUUAUAUUUUUUUAUUAAUCCUCUUCUGGAUCUGCAAAAAUGCUUUCACUUUACCCAUACAAAUAUAAUACAGUAGUUUAGGAGAUUAAAAUUACCUCACUUAUAAAUUUCCGAAAUUGUCUAAUCUCUAUUAAAAUACCAUGUUAUUAUUACCCCAUAAUCAAUGAGACAUACUAGAUGAAUCUUACUUUGACACAAACAAUGCAAUAUACUUUAAAAGUAGAGUUAACUCUGAGCUGGACAAUACUCCCCUAUUAGAACUCCUUUAUGAGGGAGAGACAUCUUGUCCAUUCAAUCCUUUUUAUCAGUAAAAGAAUGACUUUCAGGAUUAAUCAGUUUGCAAAUGGAAAUGUGGAGCCACGAUUUGAACAGCAGAAGUUUAGGGGGCCCCUUUCACGUGGGAUGUAACAAGCGCUUUUCGUGCUCCAUAAGCGAUAGCAUACAAUUGUUUCAUUCUAGCCGGCUGGACAGCAUUUCACCUUUUGUAAAAACACUAAAUGCUUACGUUAAUGAUAUGCAAAUCACUCUGAUAGUUAAACUCCUACACAAUGGACAAUAAAAUACAUGAAACACAUAACACACCAAUUCAUUUCAAACCAUAUAACUCAUACUCAGCAUUCAAUGUAAUAUUACAUGUCAUCUCACAAAACAGACAUCUCACAAAACAGACUUAGUAGAUACACGUAUCGGGUACCCAGCAGAUAUGCCAAUACAGAAAACACAUUCAUGAGCACACAACUACACACUCUGUGUCCCUCCUAGGAAACACGGGUAGACACAAUAUGAAAGCAGUCUUAAACUAACACCUCCAAAUCUCCAUUCCCAUAUAGCUAUAUCACACCACAACACAGAGCCUCUCUGAGCUCAUAGAACUACUCCAACUCAAACUACUCUUGGCCAGAAUGCUAGUAUUCAACAGCUAAUAAAACCGUUAUUUGCUAGGGUAUUUGACUGGCAUUUUUAUCAGUAUCAUUAAACUGAGACAAACUGAUUCAAAUAUAAUUUAAAACAACACAGCAACAUAUAAAUGAAACCACUUUCCAGGUAAACUGCACACUUCACACAUUAUCACAGUCACCAUUUACACAGAAUAAACAGUUAACAGCUGUACUCUGAACAUAUUAUUGUAAGGUAUACCAAUUUUAGUUUAUAUUAGAUUUAUUUUAGGGAUUCUUAUGUAUACUUUUUUUUUUUUAAUUCUUAUUAACUUCGUUACUUUAAUCUACUAUAGUAUUGUAUAUAGAGAAAGGAU
rnacentral:lncRNA from 1 species